rnacentral:rRNA from 1 species
GAUUCCACGNUGCAGGCUUUNNNUGUUUUUUCUCAAGACCAAAUCCCUUGGGGAAUAAGGGCUGGGCAAGACUCGUGCCAGCCGCCGCGGUAAUACGAGCAGCCCUAGUGGCGUUCACGUAUAUUGGGCCUGAAGCGUGCGUAGCCGGUUGAACAUGUCCUUGGUGAAAUCCUGCGGCUUAACCGUGGGAAUGGCCAGGGAAACUGUUUGACUUGGGGCCGGGAUGGGCCAGAGGUAUUCUGUGGGUAGGGGUAAAAUCCUAUAAUCCUCAGAGGACCUACGGUGGCGAAGNCGUCUGGNUGGAACGGGCCCGACGGUGAGGCACGAAAGCUAGGGGAGCGACCCGGAUUAGAUACCCGGUUAGUCCUAGCUGUAAAUGAUGUCGGUUUUGGUAUUGCACAGCCUACGAGGCUUUUGCAGUGCCGUUAGGNAAGCNGUUAAACCGACCGCNUGGGGGGUACGGCCNCAAGUUUAAAAAUUUUAAAGG